AUUGAACGCUGGCGGCAGGCUUAACACAUGCAAGUCGAGCGGAGAGAGGUAGCUUGCUACCGAUCUUAGCGGCGGACGGGUGAGUAAUGCUUAGGAAUCUGCCUAUUAGUGGGGGACAACAUUUCGAAAGGAAUGCUAAUACCGCAUACGUCCUACGGGAGAAAGCAGGGGAUCUUCGGACCUUGCGCUAAUAGAUGAGCCUAAGUCGGAUUAGCUAGUUGGUGGGGUAGAGGCCUACCAAGGCGUCGAUCUGUAGCGGGUCUGAGAGGAUGAUCCGCCACACUGGGACUGAGACACGGCCCAGACUCCUACGGGAGGCAGCAGUGGGGAAUAUUGGACAAUGGGCGCAAGCCUGAUCCAGCCAUGCCGCGUGUGUGAAGAAGGCCUUAUGGUUGUAAAGCACUUUAAGCGAGGAGGAGGCUACUUUAGUUAAUACCUAGAGAUAGUGGACGUUACUCGCAGAAUAAGCACCGGCUAACUCUGUGCCAGCCGCCGCGGUAAGAC
rnacentral:rRNA from 1 species